CCACUUGUUUUCCAUUACUUGUGAACCUCCUGAUCAAAUCUCAACUCAAGAUGGGAAAAACUACUUUGUUCGUCUUCAUGUUGGUUCUCGUUCUCUUUGCUUCCGAAGAGAGUGUGAUGAAGGUGACAGAAGCGAAGAUGUGUGAAAGUACGGGGCGUGUUGCAAGUUGUGCUUUUGAUAGAGACUGUAGCCACUCUUGUGAAAAAGACGGUUUUAUUGAUGGACAUUGUGAUGGUGUAAGACGUCGUUGUGUUUGCCGGAAAGCCUGUUAAUUAAUUAAUAUUCCCUAUACUAUGUACGUUUAUCCAAUUUAGUCUUCACAUUUGUGCGACUAAAUUGUACGUUUCCAAUAAUAUAAUGAAUGAAUAAACCUUGUUAUGUAUGUCCAA